rnacentral:misc_RNA from 1 species
AACUUCAAACUCGUAAAGAGGAAGUUAUAGUUGUCACAGAGCAGGAAAAAAUCACAGUUCGUAGAGACACAACUCAGCCUGGGGCUGAUGUCGAAGAUCCAUUGAUUAAGCUUGUUGUGGACAGACAUUCAGCAUACAUCAAUGCAUGAUCUCUUCUGAACCUGACUUCUUUGAGGAAUUGUAUUACAUCUGUGCAACAAUUAGGUAACCUAUUGA